ensembl:lncRNA
UAAAAGUUCACGCUAGGCAGCUAUACCUGGUGUGCCCACUCCUCUUCCAGACAGAGACAGACGGAAGGUACUUCUUGGCGGAUUUCAGGGUGCAAAUCACUGGGGCCUCCCCAUUCUCAGGACUCUGCAGCCCCACACGUGGACUGGCUCUGUCGAGGUGAUGCUGCCUGGCAGGUGUGGUGUGCAGUAUGGAUCUGGCCAAGAGGGGCUCUGGGCUCACACUGAGAGGGUAAUGAGUAGGCAGUAACCCCACCGGAAAGAUGGCGGUGUGUCCCUCGGCUUCCACGUGCCGCGAGUGGUCUGUUACUACAGGAACAGCAUUUGACGCGGGUCGCUCCGUCCAGAUGAAGUCCGAAUUCUUCCUGGUGGUGCUUAAGCCACACAGUCAGAACUGACCCACCUUGGCCCGCUCUGACAGUGAGGUCCCCAGUCACCCCAUCAAAUAGGAAAUUUUAAAAUACACUUCUUCAAAUUCUGAUCAUCUCCACUGAUGGGAAACUCUUUUCUUCAAGCAAAUAGUGAAAAAAUCCUGGGUCGUGGAGCUCACUCCGAGUCAGAGGAGACAACGAUAAACAAAAUAAAUAUGUAAAGUAUUGGUGUAUCGUACAGUGACAAGGGAUGCAGAGAACAAUGAAGUACAAAUGCAAGACCCUGAGCAAUGGCGGUGCAGGCCGGUUUGGAAGAGCAUGGUCAGAGAAGACCUCACCAAGAAGGUGGCACUUGACAAGGACCUGAAAAAGAAGAGGGAUGAGCGUGGAGGCCACGUGGGAGACAAGCAUCCCAGGCACAAACAAGUAGCCUGCAUGCCCAGCCAGGCGGAGACAUCAGAUUGGCCAUCACACGUCCUUCAGAAGACCUGCAGGGGCAGUAGGUGAGGUCAGGACAUUAGAGAGAUUGGAUGACCCCCAGUUUCCAGGCCUCAUGAAGACUUUCUAAGUGAUGUAGGAAGUCCAUGCAUGUUGCCCACAAAGGAGAGACAAACCACUCUGUGCUUAGUGUGGUGAAGGGAGACGUCCUCCCUCAUGUUGGAGAUGGACAAGAGGCCAAGUGCAGAGAACGGGAGGCUGGGAGGGACCAGGAGAGCUCUUUUCACGACGCUCCCAGUGGCCCAUCCGGAGCACACCAGUUGGGAACUUCUGCUGUUCAGCGUCCGGGGACACAAAGAUCAGUGCUCUUCGAAUACAGAUGAGAGCUCUGGGCGUCCAUGCAGGUGCAGCUCUGUCCUCGUCCUGGGGAACCAUCGGCUCGGGCCACUCUGCCCGCUCUCCCUGCAUCUGCACCUGUCCCACCUGGAGAACGAGUUCCUGGUCCUCCUCUGUGGGCUCCUUCCACUCACACCAGCAAGGCUUUAGGAUCUGUGUCUGCACAGAGCUCAGUAGUAGUAGAACAGUACCCAGAUAUGAGUGCCUCAUGUAGGUAGGAGAAUCCCUGUCACUCUCCACAGCCCUGGUCAGAUUCCCCUGCCCUGACCCAGACUCAUCUCCCACUUGACCUCCGUUCCUACUGACCCACUGCCAUGAGCAGAUAUCUGCACAGCGAGGCUUGGACUUGGCCUAGUCUUUGCCUGCCUUUAUUCUGUAGUAAAUCAUUUAUUGUUCUCAACCUACCGGUGGCCAUGUGGCACCACCAUGACUUUGCUCAUGCUGCUCCUUCUCCCUGAAGUCGCUGUCCUAUUUUCUCCACCAGGUGAACUUUCACUUGACCUUCAGGGAUCCACCAGGCAUCUUGGCCAAGUGUCCACAGCUAAUCUCCCAAGCACUGAGCCCCCUACACUGUGACACACCCCAUCAAAGGGAAAGCAUUGCUAUGUCCUGUUCCCACCAUCCUCUACAUCUUUAGUGGCCAGAGAUGACUUUGUUUUGAUAUCUGUUCCUAAAUCCCUGCGUCCUGCCACACUUAGCUGGGAAAACAUUUGCAGAACUCGGGCUCCUCUGCUCUGUUUACUCAACAACUUCAAAUAGUCCAAAUUGAUUUCUCCUUUGUAUGAAUGCCAGCCUGAAUCAAGUGAC